UUGGUGUCUGUCUGUUUUCACCUGCCUGUGUCUCGUUAGUCUCAUGUCUGUCACCUGUGUUACUCCCGCCGUGCUCGUUAGUCCCUGGUGUAUAUAUGUUUGGUGUUUCUCUCCAGUCUUGGUCCGGUCAUUGUUUGUGUUACCCCCUGUCAGUCGUGACUUCAGUCUCGUCCAGCGUGUCGCCUCGCUGUUUUUCCCCGCUCUUGGUGUUUUGGAUUACCUGUGUUGGAUUUGUGUUUCGUUUCUCAUUUGGCUUUUUCUGGACUCAGCCACUCAGUAUGACCUGCUUCUUUGUACCUGUCUUUGUCGAUGAUGUGGCAGAUGAUGAGCGGGGCGAGGAGGAACAGGCUGUUGCUGGCCACAGCGGUCUCCGUCUGAACGUCGAUCUGAUGGAUGGGGAUCACCUCCCCCUCUGGUGUGGUCGUCUUCCUCACCACCUGCAGAUGGUGUUUAACAAUAAUUGUCAGAUGACUUAAAUCUUAUUAGAAGAACUCAGACAUAAAGGAUUGUGGGAGAUGGAAAUUUGCAGCAACUGUAUGUUUACACCUUUGUUUUAAAUACUAAAAAACUUUGCACUUGUUCCUCCUCUCAGAUUAGAUUUGUGGACUGUCCUCGGAUGCAGAUGUUUAAGAAAAAACUAGACAAUCACCUGUAACCUGACGGUCGCUCCUAUGAUCAUGCUCUUCCUCAGAUCCCCGAUACGAAUCAUGAAACACAGGCGGUUGUUUCUGACCGCGAUCACAGCGUAACGGCUGAAGAUCAGAGUCUCCGCUCGACGGUUUGACUGAGCCGUCUUCAUGAAGAUGCAACCUGAGGAGAGGAAACUAAUCAGCGAUCUAAUCUGGCCGUGAGGAUUUAUGUCUGCUUUACUGAUACGUCAGCAGGUCCAUCAUGUAUUGGUUGUCUAAGUUAACAGUGGUGGGAUGUAACUAUAGGCCAUUUCCUUGUAAGCAUGUGACCCCUGAACUGGGAAACAGUUUCCAAGUCUCACCCAGCAUGACAGCGUUGAUGAUGAGCC